rnacentral:rRNA from 1 species
GUGCCAGCAGCCGCGGUAAUACGUAGGGGGCAAGCGUUGUCCGGAUUUAUUGGGCGUAAAGAGCUCGUAGGUGGUUCGGUAAGUCGGAUGUGAAAUCUCCAGGCUCAACCUGGAGGGGUCAUUCGAUACUGCCGUGACUAGAGUUCGGUAGGGGAGUGUGGAAUUCCUGGUGGAGCGGUGAAAUGCGCAGAUAUCAGGAGGAACACCCGUAGCGAAGGCGGCACUCUGGGCCGAUACUGACACUGAGGAGCGAAAGCGUGGGGAGCGAACAGGAUUAGAAACCCCCGUAGUCC